CCAACGAUCCAUUACUUUAUCUCUCUAAGUUUAUGUAAUUUUUCUUUUAAUUAUCAUGAAAUUGAUCUCAAAAUUCGGAUCUCAGUUCCAUGAGAGAGAGUUCACUAAUCUUUGUUAUUAAUUGCAUGUCUAUAUUUUUUAAAAAACAGAUCCCUUCCUCACCUAGCGAAACGAUAAUCAACCAGUCAUCAUCAAUUUUCCAAAUGCUUGAUUGAAGUUCCAGAAUGCACCCUAGCCUCUACCAACACAACAAAUACCCUCGAUUUCUUCAACAUCAUGAAAACCUUCAUCAUCCUCUUCUACUCUUGGAUCUCCUUCAGAUAGACCCUCCUCAUCCUGGGCUAUGUUGUCACCAACACCUAACAGUAUGUAAGAUAAAAUGUAAGAAAACUAAUUUUGUUAUCAUCACUUCAUUUUUAGACCUUUUUCUUCUUUUUUUACCCUUUCUUUCUUACAAUUAAAGCAAUGAAUUUGUUUCUAAAACUCAGAUCAAGGUCACUCAAUUAUCUUAUUAACAUUUGUAACUAAUUUUAAAUUUAUGGCAUUGUUUUUCACUCUCAACUAUUUCAUAGGUCAUGACAAUCUCAAGUUCUUUCUUUGUAUUGCACACGAUGCUAAGGAUGGUGGAUGAAUUCCUUUAAAUGGAUAUACAUGUUGUGCACUCCACUUGUUUGAUGAAAUGCCAAUAUGUGACUUAUUGGCCUAUAAUAUUGGAUUAUCUCCUCAAGUUUUAAUAUUAAGAGUUGAUACUUAUCUAUUAUAUAAUUAACACCUUAAUUGUUACAUGCAAAAUCCUUUACUUGAUAUCAUGCAAAAGGACAAAAAUUUUGGUCGUGGAGAAACAUGGGAUUCUCAACAACAAAGUUAUCAAUUCUAUUAACGCAAGCGGAUUCCAAGAUGAUAAUGGUAUGUGAUUCCUUUCUGUCAUGAGAUCACAGCCUUUCUAAAACUAAUCUAUAGUGGCAUGAUAUGGAUGGAGGCUGCAAGGUGAUAGAUGGUGAAGGAGAGAUUAGUUUGGUGCGAUGUAGUGAGAAGAAGAAGCCAGAGACAUGAUGAAGGAAAGACUUGCAACAUUGAUAAGAUAUGGGCUCACUGUGGUCUUUAUUGUUCAAGUAUUCUUAAUCAUAGUUUAUUUCUUUUCUGCUGUAGGUCUUUUGGGUAAGUUUUGAUUUAUUAGAUUAUAUUCAUGAUAUACAUGUGAACAUAUGC